AGCAUGUGGUUAAUGUAGACGCAAUCGCGCAGAACCUUACAUGGGUUUGACAUCCUGUGAAUCCUUCAGAGACGAAGGAGUGCCUUCGGGAGCACAGUGACAGGUGCUGCAUGGGCUGUCGUCAGCUCGUGUCGUUGAGAUGUUUGGUUAAGUCCAGCAACGAGCGCAACCCUUAUCUUCAGUUGCCAGCAUUUAGAGAUGGGAACUCUGAAGAGACUGCCCCGGUUAACGGGGAGGAAGUUGGGGAUGACGUCAAGUCCUCAUGGCCCUUAUACCCAGGGCUACACACGUGCUACAAUGGUAUGUACAGAGGGCAGCGAGACUGCGAGGUCAAGCCAAUCCCUUAAAGCAUAUCCCAGUCCGGAUUGGAGUCUGCAACUCGACUCCAUGAAGUUGGAAUCGCUAGUAAUCGCGGAUCAGCAUGCCGCGGUGAAUACGUUCCCGGGCAUUGUACACACCGCCCGUCACACCAUGAGAGUUGAUCGUACCCGACGUCGCCGGGCUACCCUUCGGGGGGUAGGCGCCUAAGGUAU
rnacentral:rRNA from 1 species